CUCACGUGGUCGCCAGUUGGUGCUGGAAGCCGGCUGUUUUCGGUGGUGCCUUUCUGUGUCACCUUGUUACAGUUUUAAUUUAGGUCGUGGGCGUCCUGUCGCUACGGUUACUGUGGACGCCUCGCCCCGCAAUCUCAGCUCACUUAGACGCGUGCCCACUUCUAAAGGGCUGGUCAACAGGCGUUCUUACUUUUAUGAAGAAGCACGCCCAGUGUCUGGUGGACCCUGAUGCAUCAGCCAGUCUGAUGAUUUACUUCCCUUAGAAUGCUGUGAAAUUGAAGAAGAAUGAGAUGGGAG